UGCGUAGGCGGAUUAUUUAGUCAGUGGUGAAAUCCUGCGGCUUAACCGUAGAACUGCCAUUGAUACUGGUAAUCUUGAAUUUAGUUGAGGUAGGCGGAAUGUGUAAUGUAGCGGUGAAAUGCUUAGAGAUUACACAGAACACCAAUUGCGUAGGCAGCUUACUAAGCUAAUAUUGACGCUGAGGCACGAAAGCGUGGGGAGCGAACAGGAUUAGAUACCCUGGUAGUCC
rnacentral:rRNA from 1 species